rnacentral:lncRNA from 10 species
CUGCUCUGACUAAGGCUUGGCAUUUAUUGUUGAUUAUGCCUUGAUGGAUAACUAGUUUUAUUACAAUACAGGAAAUACAUCCAACAUUUGAAACACAGAAAAAUGUUCAGAUGUCUAAUUUUCAGAUUGGUAGAUGAGAGCACAGAAAAGGUAUACACACUGAAACCAUGUAUAACAGUUAAUUCAGGAGUUGAUUAUUCACUUUAUAAAAAGACUUCCUGCAGGGUUUUACUGGAAUAAACACUACAUUCAAUUUACAUACAGAAUUAAUUUUCAGAAAUUAAAAUCACACGAAACUAUUUCGAGAGCACUUCCAAAUUACACUUUUGAAUUCUACUUUAACCAUGUGUAUGUAUUUCUCAGUUAUUAAAACUUAUUCAUACUUCAGUAGUAAUGUAUUAAGUUUUAUUGGCUUAAAGACAGUUACCUUGCUAAGAUACAGAACAUAAAGUCUAUAAUUAUAUGGCUUUCAGUGGAAAUAAACACAGGCUAUGAAAAUAGAAUGUGAAUAAAAUGGAACAUCUAAAACUCUGGCAUCUAAAAGGACCUAUGACAUCUCUGAGGAGUCUAGCUUCUGGAGUCAGACUUGCUGGGAUUUGACUUCUGGUUCUGCUGUUCCUAGCUGUGGCACCUGGAUUAAAAAAUGAUUCUAUGUUAAGUGCUGAGAACAGUGUCUGACAGAGAACUCUGGAGUCAUACACAUUUCAGUCAUUCCCUAAGUAACACUUCUGAAUGAGAAAAAUAUGAUUCCAUAACUUUUUAAAAAAAGAAUCACUAGUAACUAUUUUACUAAUGUUGACAAACACGUAGCCCAUCCAUAUUUUCCUCCUAAAGUUUCAGCAGUUGAAAUACUCAUCCAGUUUUACAUCUGAGAUCUGUUUGGGUCUUUCCUCUCCAAACUUCCUGGAGCCUGCUAAGGCCAGUGCAGAAUCGAGCUGGGGCCAGCCAGAGAGGGCAUUUAAGAACUCCAAUUCCACUUUGCCCAGAUGUGUCAGGACAUUGGAAGUGUCAUCAGCCAGGAAAGAAGCCCAGUUUGAAGAUGCACACAGACCUGAUUCAACAGUUCAGUUCAAGGCUGGUUUGGAGCUCCAGCAUGGAGCUUCCUGUCCACCGCCACUCCUGUCUUGGAAACAGGAAUUCUUUCGGAG